rnacentral:rRNA from 1 species
AACGAACGCUGGCGGCAGGCUUAACACAUGCAAGUCGAACGCAUCGCAAGAUGAGUGGCAGACGGGUGAGUAACGCGUGGGAACAUACCCUUUUCUACGGAAUAGCUCUGGGAAACUGGAAUUAAUACCGUAUACGCCCUACGGGGGAAAGAUUUAUCGGGGAAGGAUCGGCCCGCGUUGGACUAGCUAGUUGGUGGGGUAAAGGCCUACCAAGGCGACGAUCCAUAGCUGGUCUGAGAGGAUGAUCAGUCACAUUGGGACUGAGACACGGCCCAAACUCCUACGGGAGGCAGCAGUGGGGAAUAUUGGACAAUGGGCGCAAGCCUGAUCCAGCCAUGCCGCGUGAGUGAUGAAGGCCUUAGGGUUGUAAAGCUCUUUCACCGAUGAAGAUAAUGACGGUAGUCGGAGAAGAAGCCCCGGCUAACUUCGUGCCAGCCGCCGCCGUAAUAC